GCGGUCUUGGCCGAGCGGUCUAAGGCGCUAGUUGAAGGCACUACUCUUCGGGCGCGGGUUCGAAUCCCGCAGACCCA
rnacentral:tRNA from 1 species